rnacentral:rRNA from 1 species
CCUACGGGCGGCAGCAGUGAGGAAUAUUGGUCAAUGGACGAGAGUCUGAACCAGCCAAGUAGCGUGAAGGAUGACUGCCCUAUGGGUUGUAAACUUCUUUUAUAAAGGAAUAAAACGCGGCACGUGUGCCUUUUUGCAUGUACUUUAUGAAUAAGGAUCGACUAACUCCGUGCCAGCAGCCGCGGUAAUACGGAGGAUCCGAGCGUUACCCGGCUUUCUUGGGUUUAAAGGGAGCGUAGAUGGGUUGUUAAGUCAGUGGUGAAAGUUUGCGGCGCAACCGUAAAAUUGCAAUUGAUACUGGCAGUCUUGAGUACAGUAGGGGUAGGCGGAAUUCGUGGUGUAGCGGUGAAAUGCUUAGAUAUCACGAAGAACCCCGAUUGCGAAGGCAGCUUACUAAACUGUGACUGACAUUGAUGCUCGAAAGUGUGGGUAUCAAACAGGAUUAGAUACCCCUGUAGUC